rnacentral:rRNA from 1 species
UCUUGCGCAAUGGCCGAAAGGCUGACGCAGCGACGCCGCGUGCGGGAGGACGCUUUUCGGAGUGUAAACCGCUGUCGGGUGGGACGAAGGUCCCGGGGAGGAAAUGCCCUGGGGAUGACGGUACCGCCAGAGGAAGCACCGGCUAACUCCGUGCCAGCAGCCGCGGUAAUACGGAGGGUGCGAGCGUUGUUCGGAAUUAUUGGGCGUAAAGCGCACGUAGGCGGCCUUGUAAGUCUCACUGUGAAAGCCCGGGGCUCAACCCCGGGAGGCCAGGGGAUACUGCGAGGCUAGAGACAAGUAGAGGUUGGUAGAAUUCCGGGUGUAGCGGUGGAAUGCGUAGAGAUCCGGAGGAAUACCAGAGGCGAAGGCGGCCAACUGGACUUGUUCUGACGCUGAGGUGCGAAAGCGUGGGGAGCGAACA